CAGGUUCUGUUGAUGUGAUGGAAUACGUUUACUGAUUUGUGUAUGUUGAACCAGCCUUGCAUCCCAGGGAUGAAGCCAACUCGAUCAUGGUUUUGGUAUCAGGAUGAUGCUGGCCUCAUAAAAUGAGUCAGGGAAGAGUCCCUCUUUUUCUGAUUGUUUGGAAUAGUUUCAGAAGGAAUGGUACCAGCUCCUCUUUGUACCUCUGGUGCAAUUCUUGCAGCCCUAUUUUACAGCUCACAGAAAUUAAUUAAUUGAACAGUGCUUCUGAUCUGGAAAGUGAUGGACUCAGGCUUAUAGCAUAGGCAGCCUGACUCCACAGCUCAACUAUUAAACACUACUCUCAUCACCCCACAGGGCCUGAAUUUUCUGCUCCUGAAUUCAAACAUUAAAAUGUGUGGUAUAUCAGUACUGGGAUUUAUGAGGACAAUGUGGUUAAUUUAAAUGCCUUUUGGAGCAAAUAGGACGUAUCUUAUUCCAAUUUUUUGAAGAUAGAGAAAGUGCGUGGUCCUGAACACAACAGAAUAGAAUGCAACUGAAGAAAUGGCUGGUGCAAUUCAGCAAGGUAAAAGAUUAUCUUACCCCCAGCUGGUUAAAGGCAGAAGCUAUGAAUUUGUGCUAUUGUCUGUGGGCUCCUUUCAGCUUUCUGUUUUUCUCAUGCAUGAGAAAAAUGCAUUUCAGCUGAAAACAGUAUUAUGAAGGAGAAGUACUUCAAAAUAAAACACUUUACUCAACCCAAAAGACUCACUAUAAGUUCUCAAACAGUAGCUGCCACUUCUAGCUGGGAGAGAAAUGAGAGCUCUGCUCAUGGUGAUCCAGUAUCUCCAGAAUCCAUCACCACUGCUGACCUCCCACUCCAUGUCUCCAAGUGCUCUGCUAUACCUGCCACCAGCAGCUGCCACCUCCAGACUUUGGAAGGUUAUAAUAAAACCUCUGUUCUACGAUCUGCCUUCUGCUUCAACAUCCUCACUCCCCACAAACAAUUCUAAUAAACAGCAAU
rnacentral:lncRNA from 10 species